rnacentral:rRNA from 1 species
CACGUAGGGUGCGAGCGUUGUCCGGAAUUAUUGGGCGUAAAGAGCUCGUAGGCGGUGUGUCGCGUCGGCCGUGAAAACCUGCAGCUUAACUGUGGGCGUGCGGUCGAUACGGGCAUCACUGGAGUUCGGCAGGGGAGACUGGAAUUCAUGGUGUAGCGGUGAAAUGCGCAGAUAUCAGGAGGAACACCGGUGGCGAAGGCGGGUCUCUGGGCCGAUACUGACGCUGAGGAGCGAAAGCGUGGGGAGCGAACAGG